GAGGAGGGUGCCCGCCUGUGGGGCCGUUUCCGAGGGCUCCGGGGCAGGCGAAGGGGACUAGGGGAGGCGGUGGGGGGGCGCACGCCUGCUUGAGCUUGGGGCUUCUGGCCGGCCCCGCGCCUGGGCCCCACCCUGCCCAAAGAAGGCGAACAGAUGGAGAGCAGAGGGCCCCGACCCCGGCCUCCCGGGAGGACGACGGCACGCAGGCUGGCGCGGCUUAGCCCACACCGGGGCAGCCUCUGCUGAUGGGGCAGACACGUGAGCUUUUCAGUAAGGAGAGACACCUUUUAGAUUCAUUCAGACACUUUCCACACAGCACUCGGGGCACACGUGGAAAGGAAAGCCAGUAUGAGCUUCGGACGGGACUGCCCAGACCUCAGGGGGCUGAAAAACAUCCAACCCUCAACGAGGCUCCCUCCCUCUGGCCUCUCCUCCCACACCCGUCUCGGGCUCCUCUGGGCUGCUCCAACCACCAACCACCGAGAGCCUAGAUUCGGUGAGGUGGAAAGGCAGGAAUGCACUCAAGGAAGGGGCUCCCAGGUCUUGAAAGAGAUGAUGUGGGACCCUCAACUCCAGCCAGGGGGCGCACCCCGCACGCUCGCAGGCCCCAGCCCACGCAGGCUGCCAGGCAGGCUGAGGAAGCACAACUGGGCCCCAGAGCCUUGGCCGUUUGGCCUGCACACCUCCUGGCACAGCACAGCUCGCGGUGCAGGUCGUGGCACUGGCACGAUGGAGGAGGGACAUUUCACCGGCUGGACAAGUGAAAUCCAGGAGCUGGGGCCAGAAUGGGAUUCCCCGUGGGCCCAGCCCUCAGGGAAGCCGUAGCACGCUACUUCCUGCAGACAGGAGCUGGGCGGUGAAGUCCAUGGGGCUGUGCAUAUGCCAGGAGAAAGUGGAAGCCCACCACCGCUAGGGAGCCCGACAACACUUUUAAGGAAAAAGGUCUCACCAGAGGUCACUCUGAAGCGUCUCAAGAGAAAACCUCCCUAGAUCUCACGCCCUGCCCGCACCUGCAGGGAGCCCAGGGGGACCUAUCCUGGACCUCCACCCUGCAGAACUGUGCGAGAAGGAGUCUUGAUUUAAGGCCCCCCGUCCAACGUGACGAGCUACGGCAGCCCCAGGAAACUCCAGCACCACGGAGCGGGAAAGCCGGGGAAAGAAACCGGCACGGCUGGGCGCCAGCCUUCACCACAGGGAGCUUUGUAGGGCACAGUGGCUGGGCCUGGGGCCCCAGGGAGGGAAGGGGAUCAUUGUGGGCAUGUUGUUUGGCUUUUACCCUGGAACCCAGGUUUAGAUUAUACUUAGAAGAAAGAAGCACGUAGCUUCACUUCUGACCACCGAGGACGAGCCAGGACCAUGGGUCAGAGAGAGGGAGGCCGGUCCAUCACCCACCACCACCGAGUGGGGCACUGGGGAGAGGUCAUUUCCCCUCACUUGGGGCAGGAUGCGUGGCCACCGCUGCUCAGAGGUGGAGGGACCAGCCAGAUGGAAGGCCAUCGUCCCAGCCCACGCUGACCCAUCACCAGUCCAAAUGCACGGAUGGGAGGCCCACUCUGGGCCAAGUCCGCCGGAGUGAACAGAGAGGAGCCAAUGCCUUCCCCUCGGAAGUCUGGGCUGCCAGCAAGGAGGAGGGGCCCACACCCAGCGAGGGGCUGGGUUGGCAGUUCUCAGGGGGCCUCCAAUCCAGCCCAGCUCAUUCCCCAUCCUCCCUCCUGUGGCUAAGAUUCCUGCCCCUGCUGUGGGGACGAGAGUGCAGCCUGCCUAGCGGGGAUCCCCCUCCCCCAGGGGCUGUUUGGGAUGAACGGAGGGUCCAUCACUGGGCAGAAGGGCCACAAACAGUAUGCACAUCACCAGGAGCCCCUCAGCCGUUUCAGAGUGAUGAGGUCCAAGUUCAGACCUCAGGCCACUUCACACUUUGAAAAGAAGGGUUCUCCCCCAAGUGCAUCUGUGCUUAGGGGGGACCCCAAGGGAGGGAAGGAGGAGGGCCUACAAAAGAGGGGCCCUCAGGGGAGGGGACCUGAGGUAGGCCUGUCUUCCUACCCUGGAGCCUGUACUGACAUUAUAAAGGCAAUCACACCUGCUCCACCUCCUCUAGCCUCCUGGCAGCCUGGCCUCUCAGAUGGGAAGGGGCAACUGCACUCGGGGUCCCAGUGGCUCAGACCCUGAAGGGGGUGCAGCUCUUGGCUGAGCCCAGUCCAAGCACCCAGCCCCUGAUAAGAGCAUUCCCGAGCCUGCCAACAUGGGGCAUUUUCAGCCCCAGCUGGAGGCUGCCUCCCCCACCAUAAGGCAAAAGAAACUGCCCUCGGUGUGCCUAAGAAGGUCAAAACCCUGCCCCACUGGGGCCUCAGGUCCUGUAAGACUUCAUCAGCAGCCUAAGGGGCUCCAGACAGGUCAAGAAGCUUCGAGCAUAGCUGCCAGGAGCUGCUACAAACCUGUGGCUUAAAGUGAGCACACGGAGCCCAGAGCUAGGUUACCUGAGGCUUCUGGGAGGGGGACCCUCGUGGGCUCUAGCCCCCUGCCCCACCCUGCUUCCAAGGGCCGGGACCGUGGGGAGCCUGUCAGGACUCAGUUGGUUUACGAGCUGCAGGUGCCCACGGGCCGUGCCCACCCACCUGACAGAGCCCACUGGAGGGCUCUGGGCGGGUGGCAGCCACAGAGGUUGGGAAGGGCCAUGGGGCACCUUGGAAGGCAUCUCCUAAUUAUCGCAGAAUUAAUCUGGAUGGAAGCCAAGGGGCGGUUCCUUUGGGGGUUUGCACCUGGUAAGCAUGCGUUUGGUAAACAAGAUUAAUUAGGCUGAGAAAGAAAUCACGAACCCCUCUUCCCACACCCACUGCCCACCCCCAGCACACCUAGGCCCAGCCUUGCUUCCGUGCCCACAGAGGCCCCACACCCCCCAGGCCCUGCCCAAGGAGAGAGCUGCCCUUCCCUGGUUCCUGUGUCCCGACUCUCUGACCAUUCGCUCCCGGGACAGGCUUCCAGCAAAGGGGGACGCCAGCACCCCGACCCCACAAGGAAAGGCCAACCCCCGCUUUCCAAGGCUGCAGAUCCCUGAGUGCAAAAACUCACACAAGGCUGGGGCAAGGGUCACAGUGGAGACCACACGGGGCUGAGUGAGCAACAGACGGGGCAGUGGUGUAGCCGCCUCAAAUCCCUCCCAACCUUACCUCUGCCGGGAAACCCCCGGGCCUGGGCCUCAUCCGUGGCUCUGUGCCCCUGCUCCCACCGCACCCCACCUCCAGACAACACUACACACCCUCCCGUAAAGGCACGUGGAACUAACGACGGCCAAGCACAGAGGCCCCACUGGGGCGGGUCUGUGAGCCCCACCGUGAACCUCAGGAGCCACUCAGGCUUCCCCUCACAUCGUCAGCCCCUCAGCCCAUUCCACGGAUAAGAAGGCCAAGUCUUGGCCAGCCAGGCCGCUCCCUAAGUUUCACCCAGCUGGUGAGAGGGCUGACCCCAGAGCCUAGGUCCUCUCCCACCUGGAAGGGAGACCUGGUGCUGCCAACGACCAUCUCUGCCUUCCUAAGGGCUGGCUGUCGCCCCAGCCCUCCCACCACUCUGCCCAAGGUCCAAAGCCGAUAAGCACACACUGCACAGUGGUCCCACCCCGGCUUCGUGCUCUGAUAAAACAUUAGUGGGACGGUCUUCCAACCCCGGUGGCGGCGGCCGUAGCCUGCUGACCCUGCAUGGGGGUGUCAGGGACACAGGGAGGAGUCAGUCCCUCCAGCACUCGAGAUAAGCAGGACACAAGGGCUCAUCAGUGGAGAGACUAAACCCACCCAGGCUCCGGGAGCUGCGUAGGAGGCAGAGGCCUUACAAGGUGGUGGUGGUGGGAGGACGUACCCAUAAGACCACACUGGUAGGUAGGGCACUGGCUCACAGCCAGCCCUGGCUUGGCUGGAAUGCAGGGUAGGUGGCCAACUGGGGCUCAGAGGGUCCAAGCACCCAAGCACCCACCCCUCACUUUGGGCUCUUCUGGCCACUCCCCAAGUCCUCAGAGGCACUAGGAGCGUCACUACUUCCCUCCAGGCCCAAAGGCUCUAUUCCUGAGGACCUUCCUUCUGUCCAGGCCCAAAGUCUCCCCUGGGUAGGACGCCCUUACACCUGGACAUCCAAGUGCCCCACUCGACAGGGCAGGAGCCUGAAGCCCAGGAUGAAAGUACCUGGCCAUUCACCCAUUCUGGAGCAGAGGGGAGAGUCCUGGGGCACGCAGGACCCAUAGGAAGAGAACGGCGACAGCCAAUGGAUGUAGGUGCACACGGGGAGACACAUGCUACGUGCCUGACAAUGGGGCUGGGCUGUGCCUCGGGGAGCAGAGCCUGAGGUCCACCUUCACCUCCAGGACAGUCUGAGGACACCGGACAACCUCCCCUCGCUGCUCUCAGCUCUAAAGCCCACCCCCCAAGCAAGGACAAGGCCAGGGUUCCCAGGGAAAGAAAGAGGGCCCCUGCCAGGCCUGAGACCAUCCCCCAGCUCGGCUCCCUCUGGGCAUCACUGGCCACCCCGCUAUGGGGCUGCCCCUCCCGAGGCUUGAUCCCGGGAGGACCAGGACAAGAGUGCCCUGGAAGCAGCUACCGCCCGGCACACAGCCUGCUUGCCAUCGUAAACACACCGGGGGCUCAGCUAUGCUGCAAACAUGCAGGGAAGCAUGCGGGGCAGGAUAAAAACCAAAGGAAACCCAGGAAGACACAGAAGAGCAUGAAACAAAGAAGAAAAAAAAAAAAAAAGAAAACGCAGAAGAAUGCCAGAGGGACCGGCUGCGGCGGCCACAUGGGCCUCCCGGGGGGGGCCUGCUCUCUGCUGCCCUCAUAACUGGGCUGGUUAUGCCCCAUGGGCUGUGGGGGGCACAAAAUUGCUUUCACGGUCCCCAAACAGAACAUUUUACGGAUUCUCUCACUCCGGUCCUGGGACGCUUCCAACUCCCCAAACACGGGUGGCCAGUGGCUAUCCUGGGGGUCACCUUCCUCCACACCACAGGCUCCUGGGAGGUGCCCCGGCCAGCGGGAGGCCCAAUAACACUGCAGCAUCCUCUUCCUGGAACAUGGAGUCAAGACAUGGGGGCAGCUAGCUGUGUCCCCCAGGAAAGAGCCCACACACCAAAGUAACACAUGAGCAUCAGUGCCUUUUAUUAUUUGACCACACAGGUAGGUGACGGGGAAGAGUGGUGAGGGUAGGCUUUCCAGGUGGGCCAGCCCCCUCCUCUCCUUCAUACUUGGAACCAGCUUCCUGCCCAGAGCCUGAUGGCCUCUACCUCAGCGACUCCUCCAGGCAGCCCUCCAAGAUCCUCCCUGCAGAACUGGGAGGACUAAGCGGCUCAGGCAGGCCUGUGCUCUUCCCUAGGUACCCAGCACAAUGCUGUAACAGUGGCGCCUGGGGAGGAGGCCCCAGGGCUUUCGGGUCCUGCCUCCUGGAAUAGUACCCACAUUCCUGCUCUUUGAGGGCUCUCUGGGCCACUCGGCUAUAGAGAAUCGGACACACGUCUCUCAGGACAAACAACUGUGAUGUGUGACCAACUGGGUAGGGACGGAUCUGGCCCCGAGGGACAAGCAUGACCAGGAUGUGCCUGGAGUGAAUGCAGUCCCAGUGCUGCCCAGAUGUGCCCUCCGUGUCCCCUGCUGUCCCGGAGCUCGACAUGCUGACCACCUGGCUCCUGUCUACACCUCCGCCUCCGGACAGUUGGCCCCCAGCAGCCACACAGGAGAUCCAGCGGCUCCGCGCACAGCCCCCUAUUUCCGUCUUCCGGGGCUGAGUGGCCAGACAGCAGCAGCAGCAGCAGCAACAAGCUCCAGGACGACUGGGAGUCAGUGUGACAACAGUGACCCCUGCUGGACCCACUGGGGGCGGCAGCAAUGCUGGGGAGCAAGUGCCCUUCCACUCCAUCCCUCCAAACCACGCAAGAGAACAUUCGGGCCUUCCACUGAGCUGCAUCCCUGCCCCAAUCCUGGAUUACCAUCCCCCCACUACCACCUCUGCUUCCAGCCAUGAGGCAAACUUCUACUCAUCCUUCAAAGCCCAGCUCAGUAACCAUUUAUUUGGGGAAACCUACCUGAUGUCCCCGCAACCCCUAUGCCAACUGCUCUGCCCUGGACCCCAGCCCACAGGUAGGUACUGAAUUCAGACGCAUCCAGAAGAGCCCUAGGAGGGUCCCAGGGCUAGCUCCCAAUUUUGCAGAAGACCCCGAAGCCCAGGUACCCCUGUGUGUAAGCACGUGUCGGGCCCAAGCCCCACCACAGAGCACCCAGGUUCUGGGCCCCCCAGCAGCCUCCCACCCUGUUUUUGUCCAGUAAACUAAAGCACAAGCGGGCGUGCAGUUUCCCCCGGAAGUGCUCCGGGCUUUCCCUCCUGCCUGCCCCCCACCCAGCCUGCUGUGGCCAGGUGCUCACGCGGCUGUUUCCAGAAAACUUCAGUACCUGGGGAAGCCGCCAGACCAAAGGCCCUCAAAUGGCAAGCACACACCUGCUUCCUAAAAAGACACUGGCCAACCACGGCAGAAAGUCUGAGGAAGGCUGCGAUCGGGGAGGGGGAGAGCAAGCAGGCAGACACCACCCCCCCCCCACGCCCUGCAGGCCCCAGAUGGCUCCCGGGUCACUGGGGCCCCAGGGACCCGAGCACCUCCUUCCCCGUCUUCGCUUCCCUCUUAGCAUCCGACUCUCGGGUGUGAAUGAGACCACACCAGCCGGCCGCCCCGCUGCACACGCAGGCAGAGAGCUGAGACAAUCCCACGCGCCCACCUCAGUGGCACCCAGUGUGACCCUGAAAGGGGGCCCUGAGUGCACAAGGGGUGGGUGGGGACGACGACGCAGGAGAGCAUUCCCACGACACUGUCCCUGAGAGCCCAGGUCAUCACCCGUUUUACAGAAGGCUAAGUGAGGCACAGGAGCCACCACCCGCAGCUGGAGGCCAGGCCAACCCCUCCCCCAAGACAGGCUCUUUGCACAACGGAGAGGGAGCCGGAGCCGGAUGCCUGCAUUUGGGGCUGCCCUCCACCUGCGAGGGCUGAAAGGCAGCCAUGGUGCUCGCACCUCUCCUCUGGAGAACUUGGGGGGCACAGGUCUCCCAAGCUCCUCUCAGCUGCCCCAGGAGCUGGGUGCUCAUCAGGUUCCUCCAUCUCAGUUCAGGGCUGGACAAACCUGCGUGUGUUGGGAAAGGGGCACUCUGGGCACUGCAGGGGGCUGAGCAGCAUCCCUGCCUCCGCCCAACCCCAGGGGCACCACUGAACUGACAACCACACACUUCCCCAGGCGCCACUCCUGGGGGCAGGUUUGCAGGGAGAGACCCAAGGCUCUGCUAACACUAAGCAGAUACACUUUCAAAUGACAAAAGCAGGGCAGCCCGGGUGGCUCAGCGGUUUAGCGCCGCCUUCAGCACAGAGUAAGAUCCGGGAGACCCAGGAUCGAGUCCCACGUCGGGCUCCCCACAGGGAGCCUGCUUCUCCCUCUGCCUGUGGCUCUGCCUCUCUAUCUCACACGGAUAAAUAAAUAAAAAUCUUAAAAUAAUAAUUAAAAUAACAAAAGCAGCUUUCUGGGCAGACACAGCAACACGUGUGUGGCUCAAGCCUAGAUCAGGGCAAGAA